UAGGGAAUAUCGGGCAAUGGACGCAAGUCUGACCCAGCCAUGCCGCGUGCAGGAUGAAUGUUCUAUGAAUUGUAAACUGCUUUUUUAUGGAAAGAAACCCCCGGAUGCGUUCGGGGCUGACGGUACCAUAAGAAUAAGGAUCGGCUAACUUCGUGCCAGCAGCCGCGGUAAGACGAAGGAUUCAAGCGUUGUCCGGAUUUACUGGGUUUAAAGGGUGCGUAGGCGGAAAUAUAAGUCAGUGGUGAAAUCCCGCAGCUCAACUGCGGAACUGCCAUUGAAACUGCAUUUCUUGAAUACGGUUGAGGUAGAUGGAAUGUAACAUGUAGCGGUGAAAUGCUUAGAUAUGUUACAGAACUCCGAUUGCGAAGGCAGUCUACUAAGCCGUUAUUGACGCUGAGGCACGAAAGCGUGGGGAGCAAACAG
rnacentral:rRNA from 1 species